UACAGAGACUGCGAGCGUUAUUCGGAUUCACUGGGCGUAAAGGGUGCGCAGGCGGCCAGGUGUGUGAGGCGUGAAAGCCCAGGGCUUAACCCUGGAAUUGCACCUCAAACUACAUGGCUAGAGCAUUGGAGAGGGAAGCGGAAUUCACGGUGUAGCAGUGAAAUGCGUAGAUAUCGUGAGGAACACCAGAGGCGAAGGCGGCGUUCCUG
rnacentral:rRNA from 1 species